GUUACGAGCUCCGUCAUGGAACGAAUUAAACUCGUUCCCGCACCUCGGCGAGGCCCAGGACAAGGUGGUGCCUGCUACAGACCCUGAUCAACAACCCCAGGCUGGUCAUGCUCAGAAAGUCAAAACCAGACCACGGCUCCCAGGAGUUCACCCAGAUCCUGCUGACGGGCUCAGAGAGCUGACAUGGCCUCCGGCACCGCUCCUCGCCACGCCCGGAUGACUGCUGCCGAGACGAGGCCCCGGCUACCCAGCAGCUGCCCCCCAGAGUGAUGGCACGCCCAGCCACUGUCCACAUAGAUGGCUCAUGGCACUGGCCCCUCAGGAUAUCAUCUGGGCUGAACGAUGAAGGCUCAGGUCUAAUUCACUCCUCUAGUAAAAAGAACAAGCACGAAAGAGAAACUCUGUUGAACAAACUCUGUCCAGUCAUGAUUUCUCCUCCCCAUGGUUGGGAGACAGCCUUGGGGAGUUCCGUGUUGAGACGCACUUAGUGUGACCACAGGGCAGAACUUUGUGUCACUGAGGAAGGUGGUAAAAUUUCCGUAUCAGGAUAGUUUAACCGUCUGAUCGUUUUUCUCUGGGAGAAAGUACGGUCUUAAUUCAACAGGUCCCUCAUUGCUUCCUCCUUUCCAGGCCUUACCGUGGUGAGAGAAAAGGAAACCCGUGUUCCAUCCUCCCAUCUGGUAGGGGGAGCAGGCACACACUGAGCUCUCCCUGCCGGAACAACUGGGCCUUGGUCACAGAGAUGUACACGUUCUCUCUGGCAAGGGGGAUCCCCUGGGAAAGCCCCCUUCCUGGGGAGGCAGAGGUGGGCGUGCAGGCAUUCUAGGUGGGGGACGAUAAGAGCAAAGCUGUGGGAGCAGGAAAUGUCCAGGCGCGUUUGAGGAGGAUGAGCCCUCCGGUGCGUGCAGUGCAGGGCGUUAGACCCUCCAGGGAGGCCCAGACGCCACGCUGGAAGCCUGGACAUUCCUCUCUGUGCAGAGGGCCUGGGACUUACCCAGAUCCUUCCCACCCAGGCACGAGGUCUCUGAUGGCCCGGGGUCUGUACAAAGUCUGACCAUUCACAGUGCAAGUGCCAGGAACUCCCAACAGGGUGAGGGAGGUCCCUGUCCACCUGCCAGAGCCAUUGAACUUCAGGAAUCAUUACCGAGCACCCAUUGUGAACCCAGUCCCGUUGCUAGGUGUUUGCCGGACUUAUCUCCUAACUUAAUCCCCACAACCGAGCUUUGUCAUUCUGCUUUUAGAAGCUGGGAAAACGGACACUCGGGCUGCUGGGAUCCCCACAUCAUCGCUUCGUAGCCGUGUGGCGUUGGCUAAAUUACAUUGCCUUUCUGUGCUUCCUUUUCCUCACAUAGAAAAGGGCUAAUACCUACAACACCCAAAAUUAUUUGGGGGAUGAAAUGAGUUAAUACAAACACUCCUAAGUUAAUGCCUGAUUUACCCUCAACUCUCAAUAAAUACCUGUCACGUUA